UCCUGACUGCAUGCACACGCUGU
rnacentral:piRNA from 1 species